AAAGUCGAGUUGGCUUAGGGAUACGUUCGUUGGGUAGGGGAGCGUUCUGUAAGCCUGUGAAGGUGUGUCGUGAGGCAUGCUGGAGGUAUCAGAAGUGCGAAUGCUGACAUAAGUAACGAUAAAGCGGGUGAAAAGCCCGCUCGCCGGAAGACCAAGGGUUCCUGUCCAACGUUAAUCGGGGCAGGGUGAGUCGACCCCUAAGGCGAGGCCGAAAGGCGUAGUCGAUGGGAAACGGGUUAAUAUUCCCGUACUUGGUGUUACUGCGAAGGGGGGACGGAGAAGGCUAUGUUGGCCGGGCGACGGUUGUCCCGGUUUAAGCGUGUAGGUGUGUGUUCCAGGUAAAUCCGGUUCACUUUAACACUGAGGCGUGACGACGAGGCACUACGGUGCUGAAGCAACAAAUGCCCUGCUUCCAGGAAAAGCCUCUAAGCAUCAGGUAACAUCAAAUCGUACCCCAAACCGACACAGGUGGUCAGGUAGAGAAUACCAAGGCGCUUGAGAGAACUCGGGUGAAGGAACUAGGCAAAAUGGUGCCGUAACUUCGGGAGAAGGCACGCUGACACGUAGGUGAAGUGAUUUACUCAUGGAGCUGAAGUCAGUCGAAGAUACCAGCUGGCUGCAACUGUUUAUUAAAAACACAGCACUGUGCAAACACGAAAGUGGACGUAUACGGUGUGACGCCUGCCCGGUGCCGGAAGGUUAAUUGAUGGGGUCAGCGCAAGCGAAGCUCCUGAUCGAAGCCCCGGUAAACGGCGGCCGUAACUAUAACGGUCCUAAGGUAGCGAAAUUCCUUGUCGGGUAAGUUCCGACCUGCACGAAUGGCGUAAUGAUGGCCAGGCUGUCUCCACCCGAGACUCAGUGAAAUUGAACUCGCUGUGAAGAUGCAGUGUACCCGCGGCAAGACGGAAAGACCCCGUGAACCUUUACUAUAGCUUGACACUGAACAUUGAGCCUUGAUGUGUAGGAUAGGUGGGAGGCUUUGAAGCGUGGACGCCAGUCUGCGUGGAGCCGACCUUGAAAUACCACCCUUUAAUGUUUGAUGUUCUAACGUGGACCCGUAAUCCGGGUUGCGGACAGUGUCUGGUGGGUAGUUUGACUGGGGCGGUCUCCUCCUAAAGAGUAACGGAGGAGCACGAAGGUUGGCUAAUCCUGGUCGGACAUCAGGAGGUUAGUGCAAUGGCAUAAGCCAGCUUGACUGCGAGCGUGACGGCGCGAGCAGGUGCGAAAGCAGGUCAUAGUGAUCCGGUGGUUCUGAAUGGAAGGGCCAUCGCUCAACGGAUAAAAGGUACUCCGGGGAUAACAGGCUGAUACCGCCCAAGAGUUCAUAUCGACGGCGGUGUUUGGCACCUCGAUGUCGGCUCAUCACAUCCUGGGGCUGAAGUAGGUCCCAAGGGUAUGGCUGUUCGCCAUUUAAAGUGGUACGCGAGCUGGGUUUAGAACGUCGUGAGACAGUUCGGUCCCUAUCUGCCGUGGGCGCUGGAGAACUGAGGGGGGCUGCUCCUAGUACGAGAGGACCGGAGUGGACGCAUCACUGGUGUUCGGGUUGUCAUGCCAAUGGCACUGCCCGGUAGCUAAAUGCGGAAGAGAUAAGUGCUGAAAGCAUCUAAGCACGAAACUUGCCCCGAGAUGAGUUCUCCCUGAGACUUAGAGUCUCCUGAAGGAACGUUGAAGACGACGACGUUGAUAGGCCGGGUGUGUAAGCGCAGCGAUGCGUUGAGCUAACCGGUACUAAUGAACCGUGAGGCUUAACCUUACAACGCCGAAG
rnacentral:rRNA from 2 species